rnacentral:tRNA from 1 species
AGCCCUCAGUAAGUAAACCACUUAAUUUCUG